rnacentral:lncRNA from 1 species
AUGGUCCAGCAUUUGAUAUACCAUCGUAGGCUUUCCUACAAUAUAGCCUCUAACAAAACUAGGCUGUCCCAAACCCCAGGUAAUAGAAUUGUUUACUUUUAUACCAAGAAGGUUGGGAAAGCACCAAAAUCUGCAUGUGGCAUGUGCCCAGGCAGACUUUGAGGGGUUCGUGCUGUGAGACCUAAAGUUCUUAUGAAAUUGUCCAAAACAAAAAAACAUGUCAGCAGGGAAUAUGGUGGUUCCAUUUGUGCUAAAUGUGUUCAUGACAGGAUCAAGCAUGCUUUCCUUAUCGAGGAGCAGAAAAUUGUUGUGAAAGUGUUGAAGGCACAAGCACAGAGUCAAAAAGCUAAAUAA